GUUUGGGGCCUUUUUCCUAUUGAUCCUCUUCCAGGUGAAGAUAGUUACUAUUUCUUCAACGAAGGUACAUAUAAAGUGGGUCGAAAAGGAUGUGAUGUCAUUGUCAACAAGGAUAAAGGAGUUUCAAGGAUACAUGCAGAAAUUUUAGUAGAUGAGAUGAUUUCUUUGGAUCAGUCGAAGAAACCCUCAAAUAUUCUGUCUAAAGUACGUGUAAGAGACUGCUCAAAGUAUGGCACAUUCCUCAACAAGAAUCUGGAUUCGAAGG
rnacentral:misc_RNA from 1 species